UGAGGAAUAUUGGUCAAUGGGCGAGAGCCUGAACCAGCCAAGUAGCGUGCGGGAUGAAGGCCCUUGUGGUCGUAAACCGCUUUUAUCAGUGAAUAAAGUGCAUCACGUGUGGUGUCAUUGCAGGUAGCUGAAGAAAAAGGACCGGCUAAUUCCGUGCCAGCAGCCGCGGUAAUACGGAAGGUCCGGGCGUUAUCCGGAAUUAUUGGGUUUAAAGGGAGCGCAGGCGGGAGUAUAAGUCAGCUGUUAAAUAUCAGGGCCCAACUCUGUUAUGCAGUUGAAACUAUAUUUCUUGAGUACGCACAGGGAUGGCGGAAUUCAGGGUGUAGCGGUGAAAUGCUUAGAUAUCCUGAAGAACUCCGAUCGCGAAGGCAGCCAUCCGGAGCGUAACUGACGCUGAGGCUCGAAGGUGCGGGUAUCGAACAGGAUUAGAUACCCUGGUAGUCCGCACGGUAAACGAUGAAUACUCGCAGUUCGGUCAUUAUGGUCGAGUUGUCCAGCGAAAGCGUUAAGUAUUCCACCUGGGGAGUACGCCGGCAACGGUG
rnacentral:rRNA from 1 species